UACGAAGGGUGCAAGCGUUAAUCGGAAUUACUGGGCGUAAAGGGUGCGUAGGCGGUUCGUUAAGUCUGUCGUGAAAUCCCCGGGCUCAACCUGGGAAUGGCGGUGGAUACUGGAUAGCUAGAGUGUGUCAGAGGAUGGUGGAAUUCCCGGUGUAGCGGUGAAAUGCGUAGAGAUCGGGAGGAACAUCAGUGGCGAAGGCGGCCAUCUGGGACAACACUGAGGCUGAAGCACGAAAGCGUGGGGAGCAAACAGG
rnacentral:rRNA from 1 species